AUUGAACGCUGGCGGCAGGCCUAACACAUGCAAGUCGAGCGAGCGGCGGACGGGUUAGUAAUGCCUAGGAAUCUGCCUGGUAGUGGGGGAUAAAGUCCGGAAACGGGCGCUAAUACCGCAUACUAUCGGAUGUGCCCAGAUGGGAUUAGCUAGUAGGUGGGGUAACGGCUCACCAGGGCGACGAUCCCUAGCUGGUCUGAGAGGAUGACCAGCCAAACUGUAGCGUGGACACGGUCCGGACUACUACGGUAGGAGGAAGUGGGGAAGAGUGAACAAUGGGCGCAAGCAGGAUGCAGCCAUGCAGCGGGUGUGAGGAGGGCCUUCGGGUUGUAAGGUACGUUCAGCGAGGAGGCGUUACGCGCAGAAGAAGCACCGGCUAACUCCGUGGCAGCAGCCGCGGUAAUUC
rnacentral:rRNA from 1 species